AGAGCGUACCGCAGUGUGUAGGGUGGCUAUGGAAAGCAAAUGAGGUGGUUAGGUAUUGGCUCCUUUGGGUUUCCAUAAAAAUAAUGAAAAAAACACUUCUCAACUGUGAUAGGAUAAGUGAAUAACUUGAUACGAUUCUGUGUAGCACAGAUUUUGAUUUAGAAGGACGGGAUCAAGUUUACUGAUCAAGUUUGCUGCUUCACACCCCACCACUGAGCUAGCUGUAGAACGUGUUAGUGUUAUUAGCCUUAGCCUAUUUAGCUAGCUCGAACCAGCUAAUCUGCCAUGAUGGUUAUCGGAAAUAGGCUUCGCUAAAGUAACAAAACAAAGCCAAAAGGAGGAAAGCAAUGAGCAGCAGGAGCAUCAAACCAUGAGGCCGACAUCAAGCCCAGCAGCGAUGAUGCUGACGGGCUCCAGCUAGCGCCAAGUGCAGAGCCUAACCACCCUUCCACAAGCUCUGCCAGGAUAAUGGCUCUACAGCCCUCUCCACCUCCGACUGUUCCUGACGAGGAGCCAGCCCAGAUUUAGCCGGUGCUAGAGGGACCUGGCCAGCAAGCGGUGAAGUCCCAGCGCAGGACCGAGACGCGGGGGCCGUCAAUGUGGAAGGGGGGUCCCGGCACAUUCCCCGGAAGGAGAGGCGACGCCCAGGUCCAUUAAAUCAACAGCAGAGGGAGGUGCCACAUUUACCCAAUAGUACCUAGCAAGGGUGCAAGAGGAAGCCCAGCUGGCCACAGCACAGAUAUCAGCGAGGGGCACUCCACUCAGUAGAGCCAAGGACGCAGCCACACCUCGUGUUGAAUGUGCCACCUCAGAUCACAGCACUGGCCUGCCAGCCAGGCAGUAUGCUGUUGUAAUCGUGUACACGAUCCAGAGAGAGCCUCUGCUUUGAUAACCCAGCCCCCAGGACUCUUUCUCACUCACUGUGUCCACUCCACAUAGGCAGUCAGUGCCCGCACAGGGCUCAGCAUGCCGGAGGGAGACAUGACAUAAGCAGACAUGUCGGUCAGACAGAACCUUUGGGAGGAAUGAAAGGUUGGGGCUGAGAGAUAUACUACUCCCACCGGGGUUCAUCCGGUAGCACUCAGAACUUUUCCGAAAGAGCAUGGAGCUCACCCACCCUCUUCAUGGAAGUAAUCGCUACCAAGAAAGCCACCUGUAUAUAGAGGAGUUUCAGGGAGGCAGACUCCAACGGUUCUUAAGGCGGCUUUGCCAAAGCUGCUAAGACCGCAUCCAGAUCCCAGCUCACCAUUGAGUGGGUCGUAGCUAGACGAAGGCGACGAACCCACUUCAUUAACCUGGAGACCAAGGGAUGGUGCUCCUCUGGCCUGUCCAUCCACCCCACACUGCAGGCAGAUAUAGCGGCCAAAUACCCUCUCAGUGUACAGGCUGCCAAGCCUUCAUCCAAGUGAGACUGCAGGUAUUGGAGGACAUACUGCAAGACAAGGGGCUGGCCAUGUCGCCAGCUAUUACAUCUACCAGUGACUUACCAAGCGAACUUCAGAAAGUUUGUACCUCAAACCAUAAUGAAAGAGAACGUGUGCUGCGGCCAUGGGGUCUAUAUAUAGGGGUGGACCCCAACCGUGACACAGGUGUACACGAGAGUAAAUCUGCAAAUCCUCACCUUGGAUGUAUCCCUCCGCCGUGGAGUGAUUGUUGCGUUUAUAUUUACAUGUUGCGUUUAUAUUUUUGUUCACUAUAGAUACGUCCUAUUAUGUUUUUUUUGUGGAUGUAAAUGAAACUGUACUUAUUGGAAACAUGUUUAUGGUAGGCUGGCAUUGCGUAAUUGAUUACGUGGAUGAUCCGAAUUUGAUCCGUGUCGCUGUACUCGUGGUACGCAUGGUUUUUCAUGUUUGAAGUAGGCCUAUAGGCCUAUUUGUUUGACAAGACAACUGUGCAUGGCUGCAUCUCACUAUAGAAGCCUGUUUUGGUUAUUUUUAUAUUUUUACUGCGUUUUUUGUUUACUGUUAUUGUAACGAGCUUAAAUACAGAUUGUAUCAUGCCACUG